rnacentral:rRNA from 1 species
CCCCACUAUGCCCAGCCGUAAAAUUAAAAUUACAUUAUCAGCGCCCGGGAAUUACGAGCCAUGCUUAAAACCCAAAGGACUUGACGGUGUCCCAUACCAACUAGAGGAGCCUGUUCUAUAAUCGAUGACCCCCCGCUAUACCCCACCAUCCCUCGCUUAAUCAGUCUGUAUACCUCCGUCGAAAGUCCACCGUGUGAACGCAUCAGUGGGCAAAAUGAUUUCCAUCAACACGUCAGGUCAAGGUGCAGCUUACGAGAUGGUAAGUAAUGGGCUACAAUUUCUAAUCUAGAACAAACGAAAGACUGUGUGAAAUCACAGCCACGAAGGAGGAUUUAGUAGUAAAAAGAAAAUAGAGAGUUCUUUUUAAACCACGGCCCUGGGACGCGUACACACCGCCCGUCACCCUCUUCAAUAGUCUUAUAGUUAGUUCCAUAACCUCAUAUUUGCGCCUUAGAAGAGGCAAGUCGUAACAUGGUAAGUGUACUGGAAAGUGCCCUUGGUUAUAACAAAAUGUAGCUUAA